UGUGUAAGAGCAGCAAGUGCUCUUAACCGCCGAGCCAUCUCUCUAGCUGAAGAUAGUCAUUUUCUAAAUCGGCUUGGAUUGCUCCCAUUCAAGGACAGCCUGAAUGUGGGACUUCUGGGGGCUUUAGCACUUGGCUAUCCAGCCAUAAAGGCUGUCCUGAUGAACCGCACUGAUCCAGUGUCGUGUGGGAAGUCUUUCUUGACUGAAGCUAGCCGUAGAGCAGAGCCUCCAGGCCAUGCUCCUCGGGCUUGCACUGCCAUCCUCAGCUAGAGGGGCCAAGCUCUUUGCCUUAUGUUCCCAGAUGAGUGAUGUUGAAGCUGGUGGCGCCACUGUCUUCCCCGACUUGGGAGCUGCGAUUUGGCCCAAGAAGGGCACGGCUGUAUUUUGGUAUAACCUUCUUCGGAGCGGGGAAGGCGAUUAUCGAACGAGGCACGCGGCCUGCCCUGUGCUUGUGGGCUGCAAGUGGGUCUCCAAUAAGUGGUUCCAUGAGCGAGGACAGGAGUUCUUGAGGCCUUGUGGGACAACGGAAGUCGAUUGACGUCCUUUUCUGCUCUGCCCCUCCCUGUCCCACAGUCCAAAUCAUCUUCAAGUUCAGUGUGACAGCUUCCUUUGUAUGUCCCAGCUCCUGUCAAGCAGGCCAUUGGGGGAGCCAGUGUUUGUCUGAAUUGAGAGAGUGUGUCCUGAGCCGAGUCCUGGGUGACCUGGGCCGCAGGCUCUGGCCAGCCUAUGCCUGCCCUGGCUCCCAGGGUAGUCUUGUCAUGGCUGUAGUAGAGCCAGACUGUAGCACCCAGCACGGUGCCUUUGUACCUCAGAUAUUUCAGGUGGACGAUGUUUCAGUGAAACCAAAGUUCUGACACUGUUUACAUGUUUGUUUUCUAUGACAUUUCUAUUUGUUGUGGCUUUAACCAAAAAAUAAAAUAAAACAAAACAAAACAAAAUAAAAUGUUCCUGCC
rnacentral:lncRNA from 1 species